AAUUGCUUAACACUGUUACAGUUUGGCAGACACAGUGAAACCAUAGCAAUAAAAGAAGUAUUUCUUCCGACAAGUCAUUUCAUAGCUACAACGUGGAAACUAAGAGUUUCCUUCUAUUUUAUUUUCUGUAGCCUGAGGACUAGCGUGGAGAAGGUUUAGCCUUUAGGAGGUCGUGGUUGCUGCUGCUACUUCUGUUAAAUGUUCCAGGACUUACUCCAUUUGGCUCCAGGACCGUACCUGCCCUUCUAAGAUUUCCCUGGAACCCAUUCCUUAUACCAUGGAAGAAGCUCAUUCUAGUCCACAGAGAGAGACAUGAAGAGGCUCACAUAGAAAGGAAUGGAGAUCUCCAGCCAAGGGUCAAUAUAAAUUUCCAGAUAAGUGAAUGAAUGAGCCUUCAGAUGAUUCCAGUCCCCACCCUUUGGGUCUUUCAGAUGAGGCCUGAGACAUUAUGAUGCAAAGACAGUCUUCUCUUCUAUGUUCUGUCCAAAUCCCUUACCCAGAGAGUCGAAAAAGUGAUUCCCUGCAAUUUAAUGCAACUCUCCUUGGAAAAGAACAAGAAUAUACUCACUUCCAGAAAUGCUGAAAACGCUAAGUUCCAGUGCAUCUAGCACCAGGCCAUCAAGCUCUAGAGGAUCCUCAGUGAGAGAUAUGACCUCUCAAUAUUCAAGAGUCACUCAUCUACAGGGGACCCUAGACUGCCCAGCAGUGAGACAUGGCAGGAAUGCGACUGUUAAGAGAAGAACACCUCAAGUGAGCAUGCGCAAAAUUUUGAAGGAGAUACUGAAAAUCUAAAAUAAUUCCUAUGAGCAUGAGACAACCCUGCCAACAUCUCAGUUUUGCUGUGGAGUGGUCAAAAAGAGAGAGACCUGGGCCACUUCGUUUGAUGACCCUCAAACAUAAGUAUCUGUGCACUUUCGUUAGGGGAGCCUGUUCUCAAAAGUGAUCUCUAAAUCUCUGAUUUGAUGGGAGUGGGGGUAGGUAAUGCUGUCUUCUAAAAUUUAUAGCCUUAGUGAGGACAAUAUGCUAGAGGGUCUUAUUUUUCAUUAUUCAGACUUUUACUUCCAGUGUUUUCAGGAUGGUGACUCGAUCCUAAUGUACUGUACAGAAUGCAUCUCCCUAAAUACAGUGUCUCUGGUUCAGUCUCUUCAGGGGGUAAAACCCCAUUGCCUGCUGGGCUGCAGUGAGGUGGUUUGCACUACGGGUUGGGUGAGAGAGGAGAUCUAGUAAUUACACUGCUUAUUACUUCCACUUUCAACUAAUCCUUACACAGAUCUCAGUACCACUUCUCAACCUAUCCUCAGAGUAGGUUGCAAGACUUAACAUAAAAAAUUUGAGGAUGCUCAGUCAUAUGUGAAUUUCAGAUAGAGUGAUUUUGUUUCAGCAUAAGUAUAUCUCAUGCAAUAUUUAGGAUAUAGUGUUCUAAAAAAUGUUCUUUCAUUUUCAAAUGUAAUUGUGUGUCUUUUUUUUUUUUUUUUUUCUUGAGAUAGAGUCUCACUCUGUUGCCCGGGCUGGAGUGCAAUGGUUCGAUCUCAGCUCACUGUGACUUCCACCUCCCAGGUUCAAGACAUUCUCCUGUCUCAGCCUACUGAGUAGCUGGGAUUAUAGGCAUGAACAACCGUGCCCAGCCGUGUCUUCUCUUUUACCUGGCAACCCUACUAGAGGCUUUCAGAGAUAAAAAUCUGUUGGAUGACGUGCAGCUUACCCUUUCAAAGUUCCUUAAGGACCCUGGGGAAUGCAGCCAUCUGGAAUUUGCUGUCAUGCUGUGAUUUCUGCAGUAGCUUUUGUCAGGCCUCUGAGCCCAAGCUAAGCCAUCAUAUCCCCUGUGACCUGCACGUACACAUCCAAAUGGCCGGUUCCUGCCUUAACUGAUGACAUUCCACCACAAAAGAAGAGAAAAUGGCCUGUUCCUGCCUUAACUGAUGACAUUGUCUUGUGAAAUUCCUUCUCCUGGCUCAUCCUGGCUCAAAAGCUCCCCUACUGAGCACCUUGUGACCCCCACUCUGCUUGCCAGAGAACAACCCCCCUUUGACUGUAAUUUUCCUUUACCUACCCAAAUCCUAUAAAACGGCCCCAACCCAUCUCCCUUCGCUGACUCUCUUUUCAGACUCAGCCUGCCUGCACCCAGGUGAAAUAAACAGCCAUGGUGCUCACACAAAGUCUGUUUGGUGGUCUCUUCCCACAGAUGCUCAUGAAAUUUGGUGCCAUGACUCAGAUCGGGGGACCUCCCUUGGAAGAUCAAUCCCCUGUCCUCCUGCUCUUUGCUCCAUGAGAAAGGUCCGCCUACGACCUCAGGUCCUCAGACCACCCAGCCCAAGAAACAUCUCACCAUUUUCAAAUCCAGUAAGCAGCCUCUUUUUAUUCUCUUCUCCAACCUCCCUCACUAUCCC
rnacentral:lncRNA from 10 species